AAUCCCCCAGAAUAUUACCUUUUAGCCAUUUUGCUUUGGGGAGAUAAAUCUGAGUGGAAGACAAUCCAUCGAGGUGUGACAUGAGCUAUACUGCAGACACAAACCAUCUGGGACUGUUUGUUAUCCCAGGGUGUCCUGUUUGUGUCCAAGCUCCAUGAGUUACUGGUACAGCACUGGCUGUGGAGGGGGUGAAGCCACUGCUGAAGACACAGCAAAAGCAAUUUUCUUCCUGCUCCAUCUGGGCAGUGAAGACAACUCACUUUAAUCUUCUCUUUCCAAGCACUAAUUAAUCUUCUGAUGAAAACAAGGACAAUAUUUGGCCUGGCAUGGUGGGUGGUUACUCAUGCAAAUGAGUACUUUUGUUCCAUCCACAGAGGACAGAACUGAGCCCCCAGCUCAGACCUGGGGCCAAUGUCAAUGCAAUGACACAAAGGCACUGGCUCAGUGCAGGGACACCUGGGCAGGUGUGAGAGCAAAAGCUGAAUUCCAGCUGGGCCAUUAGUGAGCGUUUUGCUGCAGCACUGAGCCAGCUGUGGAUGAUCUGCUUUGAUAAACCCUUAACUCAGACACCCUUAAAGCCAAAGAAGCAAUAAAGUGAGAGGUAGGCACUGGUGGUUAAUGAAGUGAGCUCCAGGAAGGAGGAAUGUGUGUCAGGCCAGAGGCCCCGAGGAGGCAGUGACACAUUUACCUCAGGAGAAGCAGAGCUGGAGCCCAGGACCUGAGGAUUCAGUAAUUGAGAGUGUUUGAGCCUGCCUGGGGAGCUCUCCACAAAUACAGUUGUCCACCUGGGUAGCUGAGGAGGAUUAAAAAUAGCCCAGCAAGAUGUUGGCUUAUCCCUGAGAGAACAGAAUUAGUUGUCUGGAAAGACAGAGCAUAUUAGAGGAGGAUGAAAGGUGGGUGAACACUGCUCUUUCUCUUCAGUUAAAUUCCUGCCCUAUCCCUGCAGGCUUUGGAGCUCACUUUGGAACCUGGGUAAAGUGUGCAUGGGAUCCUGGAAAUCACUGCAUCUAAUGAGAGUCUGGCUGCUGCUGCAGAGUUAUCUUUGCUUCUUUUUGACUCUUUAAUUGCUGGUAAUAGCCAAACUUGGUUUCCUGCUGGCUGGGUCUGAAGUCCUUCAUCUUGUUUGGAGCAAUGAGAAAUCACCAGGAUAAAGCUGUGCUGUUAAUAUCCAAGGAAUAUGGCUAACCAGCUGUCAUCAAUCUUCAUGCAAACCAGACAUUCAGCCUUAAACUGCAUCCUUAACGGAGUGAUGCAGUUAAGCAAGCACCAAGUGGCCCCAGGGCAAAGAUGUUUCAGUUUCAUUGAGCUUUUUUUUUUGAUCUGGCAAGAGCCAGGUCUUGGGUUUUGGUAAUCUGAGUCCUCCAGAAGGUGAUGCUGCAGGGGAUGGGGUCACACACCUGGGAGAGCUGCCCAUGGCCUUGUGCCAGGCUGGCCUUGGCACCAAGCACCCCAGAGGAGCUGGGUGAGGAAUUCUGCUCUUCCUGGCCUUCCCCUGGCUCUGCACAGAGGUUUAGCAGCUCCAGGGAUGGUUUCCUGUGCUUCCUGGCACACACAGGAGAGGUUCUGGCCUUGAUGCUUUGAUGUAGGGCUUGGCACUCUCUGCUCUGCUCAGAGCAGCUUGGCUGGUGUUGGCAGUACAAACAGGGCCCUUUCUCCCUGCAGGAGGGUAAUAACUAACCAGGGAUCCCUCUGAGCAGCCUGGGGAGAGAAAUCAAUCAGUGGAAAUCCCAGCUGAAGCACGGAAGAGAGGAUCUAAAUUUAGUGCAGCCUGCCUGGGGCUCCUGAGGUUUGUGGCUGCUGGGGCAGUUGCUCGAAAGCUGAGCCUGCAUCCAAAGGCUGCAGGCAAUGCAGGAGAGCAACACACUCUGCUGUACUUCCAGGUACCUCUCCUGAGUCUUUGGGAUCAUGGAUUUGUUUGGUAGUUGUUUAAAAAAAAACCCGAAAAAACAGUUGUAGAUACAAGGGAAGAGCAAGGGUUUGUGCCUCACAGGGGCUGCAGUCUGCACAGCGACAUCAAACAAGGGCCUGGAGGAACAAAGCUCUUCUUAUCCUCCCUUCACAGCUGGGUAACUGAAUUCUGUGAGAUGAAGUGAUUUGCCUGUGGUUGUGUGGGAAGUGGGGAGGCCAGGAAUGGAGCUGGGAUCUCGGGGGAUCGAGUUCACAACCGGUUUCUCUCUGCAGCUCCAGACAAACCCCGUGAUUUCUCAGUGACCUGUUGUUUUGCCCUUGGCAUUCCCCAGCAGAAGAGUCAGCAGGUUGGCAUCUCCACUGGAAACAAGUCAGUACAGCUCCUGCUUGGGACUGAGAAUGUUGAGUCUUUUUAAGGAAAAAAAUCAAAUCCACACUUCCUUUAGACACUGCUUGUUACUUUUUCUCAAGAGACAAUUUGUGGAUGCUACACUUAGGCCUGGAAGCAAACUAGAAACCUUGCUAAGUCUCCAAACUUCAAAUUACAGCAGAACACGUUCCUGGGGCUGAUAAAAGCUGCCAAGGACUCUCAGUUUGGAAAGCCAGCAGCACUGAAAAUUGAAUUCCUAGGGAAGAGAAACUGUGACCAGAGGAAAUUGCUGCUGCUCACUGAGGAUGGAAUGGCUCUUGCUGUAACCUGAAUUUUGUGCCAUCAACCCCAACAUCAGCACUAGGACCAAACUCCUGCAGGUUUUGCUCACUGAGUUCAAAGCAAUCCUUCCUUCUGUGCCCAUGGAGUGGUGGAAAGGACUCCAGAUGAGUGAGAGGCACAAAGAAAAAGUACUUGCAGUGAUCUACUUGCCCAUUAAAUGUUCUCUGGAAGGGGUCAUUGUUAAUGUUGCUGCUUCCCAUCUAAACAGGAACACAGAGCCCUCCUUGACAGGGAGUUUAGCAGAGCUGAAGGGAUUAGGGGGUGUUACAAUAUCUCACUUCUAAAAAGUUAAUGUAUUAGGGGAGUGUGAGUCUAGACACGUAUUGCAAGACUGAUUUAGGAUCUUAAAGUGGAUUCUGCCUUUCAUUCUGGCUUUUAUUAAAAGCUUUGUAGUACAUCUUUAAAGAGCCACUAAAGCCACAGUGAAAACAUAAAGGAGGAAAUAAUAGAAGCAGAAAGAUUUUUUUUUUUUAAAUGGAUUUCUUCCCCCAUUUUCUCUCUUGCCCCUACUCAGAGUUGAAAGCCAUUUGCAUAAAAACAUGAUGUUCAUUUUUUUUCCUUUAAAAACACAACUCACUUCCUCCUAACUCUCUUCCCCUGAAAGCUGGGGGUCACUGUGCAAGAUUAAUGCCAGACUGUGGAGCAGCAGAAUGCCUCAAAUUCAGAAGUUCAUCCAAACUUCCUCCAACUGCAGAGUGGUUGAGAUAGGAGCAAGCUGGGGGAAUUUGAGACAAGGUAAUUGGUCCUCUGAAGGACUUGGAGUAGCUGCCAAAAGAUGAUGGACAAGGAUGCUGUGUAGAUUUAUGGAGGGUGUGGGUUUUGCUGUGGUUGGCGAGAAAAUGCCUAUAGGGACACAGAUCUGCAGAACCUUGGAGAAAACAGUUAUUUGUGUGGGCAGGUCCAGCUAAACAUGCUGAAUUAGAGUUAUUUCACCUCUAAUUUUGGAAAGAAAAAUAGCCUGGCACCCAACUUGAGGGAUACCUGAGGUCUGCUUUUGCAGGCAAAACCAUCCUGAGAUGGAAGAACAUCUGCUGUUCAUUUUUAUUUUAUCUUUUUUUUUUCUCCCAAUCUCUUAACUUCUUAGAGUCCUUUCAACUCCCAGGCACCCAAACCACUGAAAGCAGGACUGCCUGGCUUCAGGUGGGGAGGGAACAGCAGGAACAGAUGGAUUCCUCAGCACCAGAGCCUGGUUUCCAUGCCAAUCGAGCCUGCUGACAGAGAACAAGGAGUCAAACUCUGCUGACAAAAGAUGUGGGAGCUGCUGGCUGAAAAUUUCCCGAGGCUCUGGUGGUUCCAUACCAGGUGGCAGCCACACGGAGCUGCUUUCUGUUCAGGAGGGAUUCUGUGUUUUAAACACAGCCUAAGUCCCUGAACAAAGUUCCUAGCAGCUCUGGUGGAAUGCAAAUGCGUUGCUGUUAUCCACACUUUGUACUCAGCUCACCUGCCCCCAAAGAGGAGGAGGAAGGCACCAACAUUUGCAUAUAAAUGAGGUCAGAUUGGGUUCCUCUGCAGUCAUUAAGGUGGGCUUAUUAUCCUGUUUGUUCUUAGCAAAGCUGCUCGCCAUCUCUGCUCCACAGCUGCUGCCAGCCCGGUCUGCCGUGGAGACGUGGAGGGGCUCACUGCUGGUCUGGGAGUCACAAAGAGUGAGUUGGAGAAGAGAAGCUGGUAAGAGUCAGCUUUGCCUCUGAAAGGAGUUCUACCAAGGCUGUGGACAUAAAAACCGAGGAGAAGAGAAGAUUAAAAGAGGGCUCUGCACUUGAAUUGUGGUGGAAAACAGUGGUGGAGACCACCUUGCUGCAAUGAACAUUAUGUUGAUUUAUUGUGGCCAAUUAAUAGUCAUAAACUUUGUGAGAGGGCAUAAAAAGACAGCAUGCUGCUAAAAUUAAAAAGAAAAGAGAAGCCUUCUCAAAUCCAUGGUGUUCUUCUGUUUGUUGUGAGCAUCUCAACAAGGACAUGGGUGCAGCACCUGCCAUGCCUCUCCUCAAGGGCUCUCAGGAGGGACGGGGAGAGAGCCCCUGAAGCUUCUGCUUCCACUCCAGAGCUCAGCCACACCUGGGGGUGGCAUCACACUGGUGAUGCUUCCCCAGGAGGGUUUGCAGAGAGGGAAACUGAGGCACAGAUUGAAGGAAAAGCUGCUGUUUUGGCAGAGCAGGGCUGACACCCACUGCCAUGCACAGAAGCUGCUCCUUGCUUUCAUCGUGGAGUUCUCCCUUUCCUGAGCGGCAGCUGGAGGCCAGGCAGCCACUGAGGCUCAAUCAAACACCCCCUUUCUUCACUCAGGCCUCAGUAGAUCUGUACCAGUUCUAAGAAUUUUGAAAUUAUUUCAACUUCCCACCAGCCUAGUGUGAGGUGCAGGAUAAAAUGCUGCUGAGUGGAGGAUUUAUAUCAUUUUACCCUCUGGAGGGGGUCCAGGAGUCAGCUGGAUCAGUCUGCUAAAAGGCAGUUAAAAGACUUUGAGUGGUUUUCUGUCUUGCUUUCUCUUUGGAACAAUCCCUGGAAAUAUCCAAAUGCUCUAUUAACAGCAUUUCAGAGUGUUUAGUGCUCAGAAAUUACAGGUGACUCUGCUUUGCUCUGACAAAUGCAGUGGGAGUGUGGGUCCUCCCCUCCUGAAUUAUUCACACCAAAAAGUAGUUUGAAGGCAAACCUCAAAGUUCCCAGAUUUGUUUUGAUUUUUUACAAAAUGCCUCCAAUCAGCAGGCUUCUCUUAAAACAUGGAAUUUUCAUGAAAAUCAAGUUGCCUUGUUUAGAAGGAAUAGUAUUUUCUGUCAGCAAAGGUGUUGCAGGAAAUAUAACAGAACUCAUGGGCACAGCAGGAUUAGAACAAAAAUGUAUAGAAAGAGAGGAAACACAUUCAAAUAUUUCUGCCCAGGGCUAUUAAAACUUUUGAACAGAAUUUGUGUCCUUCUAAUUGACACCCUUCAAAACCUGUACCUGCAGCAAAGGGCAGAGCAGGAGAGCAUCACCCCUGCAUGCUGCCUGUGCCAGGGAGCUGUGUCAGACUGGAGUGAAACUGUGCCUGCAAAGUGUCUGCUCCUCUCAAUAAAAUAUGUGCUUUCAUUUCAGCAAGGGAUCACAGCACAAAGUGCUAAGUGCUGUAAACACUUUGCAGCACGACAUUUCAGGAGCUGAAAACUGACUGCUUAGGUGGCUGCAGUUGAUAAAAAGCAAAUGGAAAAGCAGCUGAGCUCAGCCAUGGUGAGAUUGUGCUUUCUGUGGAGUUUUGGGCUCAGAUCCCUCUGGCUGCCCACUGAGGGAGGAGUGGCCGCAGCUCAGGAGCUGCUGGGAGUUGUGGCUCUGAGUUAAGAGCCCUCUUUGAGCUCAGUCCUAGGCUUGGGGUCUCUCAUCAGCCUGAAGUCUGAUGAAUUUCCUCUGUUCAUUGUGGAAUAAUGUGAGUUCAAGCCAUGCUUACCAUGUGUAGCUCAUGUGGCUUGGCUGAAGCAGGGUGACAGAUUGUUCAUCUCCACAUCUUGCAUGUCCAACCCUUCAGAGGAUCCCAUCAUUCCACACCUUUCAAUGGAGGCGAUUUCUGUUCCUCCCUGGACAGCUGCAGCACUGCCUCCUGUUCUCUCUUUGCUCUUAUCCCAAUGUCAGGAAAAUUAAUCCACAAACAUCAGAGGUUUAUGUCCAAAAAGGAGACAGAGGAGUCCUGGAACUUGAUUCAAAUAAAGGCAGAGGCCAUGGGGCAUCCCCCUGGGAUCUCUCAAAUUUUUGGAGGAUGCAGCCUCCUUUUUAUCCCAAUUUCCUGGCUGCAUUUCCCUUCUCUCUUUCCCCAUUGGCUGAGGUACUUGAGAGGUUCAGACUUCCCCAAACACCUGAUACUGAAGAUUUCCCUCUAAUGUAUAACCCUCCCUUUUAAUUUUUAAUUCUCAUGGAAUUUAGGGGUUUUUCUUCCCCAUUGUUUCUUUCAUCUUUCAAUGUCUAAUUUCAUUUAUCAGCAAAUGUAAAGUUUAUUUGUAAAAGCAAAUACCUUUUUCCAUUCAUCAGUCAGUGCAAUCCCUCCCGUUGUUUCUUUUAUCUCCCAGUGCUAGUUUUAUCUACCAGCUUG